rnacentral:rRNA from 1 species
UUUAGCUUUCGUUACUCGGUUUCGCUUAGCUUCUUAGAGGGACUCUGCGGCUUCAAGUCGCAGGGAAGUUUAAGGCAAUAACAGGUCUGUGAUGCCCUUAGAUGUCCUGGGCUGCACGCGCGCUACACUGAUGCAUGCAUCGAGUUUACCCCGCUCCGAAAGGCGCGGGUAAUCAGCAAUCUGCAUCGUGUCGGGGAUUGAUUUUUGCAAUUCUAAAUCAUGAACGAGGAAUGCCUAGUAUGCGCAAGUCAUCAGCUUGUGCAGAUUACGUCCCUGCCCUUUGUACACACCGCCCGUCG